GACGAACCCGUGCGAACGUUGUUCGGAAUCACUGGGCAUAAAGGGCGCGUAGGCGGGCCAUCAAGUCGAGGGUGAAAUCCCCCAGCUCAACUGGGGAACGUGCCUCCGAUACUGAUGGCCUCGAGUAAGGUAGGGGCGUGCGGAACUGAUGGUGGAGCGGUGAAAUGUGUUGAUAUCAUCAGGAACUCCGGUGGCGAAAGCGGCACGCUGGACCUCUUCUGACGCUGAGGCACGAAAGCUAGGGUAGCAAACGGGAUUAGAUACCCCGGUAGU
rnacentral:rRNA from 1 species